ACGCACGCUGGCGGCAUGCCUAACACAUGCAAGUCGCACGAGACCUUCGGGUCUAGUGGCGCACGGGUGCGUAACGCGUGGGAACCUGCCCUUAGGUUCGGAAUAACUCCCCGAAAGGGGUGCUAAUACCGGAUAAUGUCUUCGGACCAAAGAUUUAUCGCCUUUGGAUGGGCCCGCGUUGGAUUAGCUAGUUGGUAGGGUAAAAGCCUACCAAGGCGACGAUCCAUAGCUGGUCUGAGAGGAUGAUCAGCCACACUGGGACUGAGACACGGCCCAGACUCCUACGGGAGGCAGCAGUGGGGAAUAUUGGACAAUGGGCGAAAGCCUGAUCCAGCAAUGCCGCGUGAGUGAUGAAGGCCUUAGGGUUGUAAAGUUCUUUUACCCGGGAUGAUAAUGACAGUACCGGGAGAAUAAGCUCCGGCUAACUCCGUG
rnacentral:rRNA from 1 species